rnacentral:ribozyme from 11 species
GCAGAUAGCAGAGCUCAAGGAAGAGAAAGCCAAAGAAAAGGAAAAAGAAAAAGAACGCGAAAAAGAGGUUGUCGUGAAUGCAUAACUCGCCAAUGUACAUAC